CUCAGAGUGAACGCUGGCGGUUACCUAACACAUGCAAGUCGAACGGCAGCACGAGAGAGCUUGCUCUCUUGGUGGCGAGUGGCGGACGGGUGAGGAAUACAUCGGAAUCUACCUUGUCGUGGGGGAUAACGUAGGGAAACUUACGCUAAUACCGCAUACGACCUACGGGUGAAAGCGGAGGACCUUCGGGCUUCGCGCGGCUAGAUGAGCCGAUGUCGGAUUAGCUUGUUGGCGGGGUAAAAGCCCACCAAGGCGACGAUCCGUAGCUGGUCUGAGAGGAUGAUCAGCCACACUGGAACUGAGACACGGUCCAGACUCCUACGGGAGGCAGCAGUGGGGAAUAUUGGACAAUGGGCGCAAGCCUGAUCCAGCCAUACCGCGUGGGUGAAGAAGGCCUUCGGGUUGUAAAGCCCUUUUGUUGGGGAAGAAAAGCAGUCGGCUAAUACCUGGCUGUUCUGACGGUACCCAAAGAAUAAGCACCGGCUAACUUCGUGCCAGCAGCCGCGGUAAUACGAAGGGUGCAAGCGUUACUCGGAAUUACUGGGCGUAAAGCGUGCGUAGGUGGUUUGUUAAGUCUGAUGUGAAAGCCCUGGGCUCAACCUGGGAAUUGCAUUGGAUACUGGCAGGCUAGAGUGCGGUAGAGGAUGGCGGAAUUCCGGUGUAGCAGUGAAAUGCGUAGAGAUCGGGAGGAACACCCGUGGCGAGCGGCAUCUGGACCAGAAUGACACUGAGGCACGAAGCGUUGGAGGAGCAAACA
rnacentral:rRNA from 1 species